CACUCCAGAUUAGCAGUACACCAAACAGAUGGACCAUUUGUCACCUGGACAGCACUGUAGACACCACAUGCUUGUAUGCCCAUCACUGCAAGGAGCUGAGGAAGCAAAAUGCGCUCAAGCAUGACACCAGCUGGGCAGCUGCAUCCCUUCUCUGUUUGUCAUCUCAGCUUGCCAUUACUGUUAUACUUCUGGCUGCUAAUUCUGAUUCCUCCUUUCCUUCUGAGAGCUGAAUCAGGAGUGAGAAGAAAAUCCUUCAAGUUUGCUUUUCAAAGUCACAUUUCAUUCCUUUUGUUGGAAGUAGAUGAACUCUUAGUCACUGUUUGUUGUUGUUGUUUUCUUUUUAGUUUUCCCCCAGAUUUUUCAUAGCAACUACUGGUUUGCUGGAGAAACUGAACAAGCAGGGGCUGCUGAGAGCAGAGCCAUAGCAAGCUUUUGUAGAACUUCACUUUCCUGCUCCUGGUCAAGACAGAACGUCAGGUCUCCAGAGCUGCAACUAAAUCAUACAAUCAUUAAGGGACGGUGACCCAGCCACCCCCCUGAGCAGCCUGUUCCAGUGCCUGACCACUCCUUCAGAGAAGAAAUUUCUCCUAAAAUCCAAUCUGAACCUCCCCUGGUGCAACUUGAGGCAAUUUCCUUUCAUCCUAUCAUUGUCACGCAGGAGAAGAGGCCGACCCCCACCUCACCACAACCUCCUCUCAGGCAACUGCAGAGAGCUAUAACGUCUCCCCUGAGCCUCCAGCUCUCCAGACUGAAUAAUUCCAGUUCCCUCAGCCACUCCUCAUAAGAAUGUUUAGAAACUAUGUAUUCUGUUGCCACAGUGAAUAAUAAUAGGUAAUUAUUAUUAAUAAUGAUGGUUAUGACAAUAAUAAUAUUAAUUGCACUAAAAUAAAAUGUUGGAAAUUACAUCUUUAUCCUAAAAAAAAAGAAAAAAAAAAGAAAAAGAAAUUAGUAUUAGUAUUAGUAUUAGUAUCUUGUAGAUUCAGCAUUGUGAGGAUGAACUAGUUUUCAUUCUGGUUUGGCACUGAGAUUCCCAGAUUUUAUACAACAUCAUGAAAUCAGUAGUAUGUGAGAUUCACUGCUGCACAUGAAAUAUCAAAAGGAACUUGAAAGGUUAGCAGAGGAAUUGCUUUUAUUUUGCAGGCAAAACAUGGCUCCUGUACCUACCAG
ensembl:lncRNA